CGAUUUUAUUGUUAUAUUUUUUAAGUUUUCUCCUGAACCUGCAUAGCUGCUCAUAUUCUUCUUGUCCAAGACUCCAUAGCCACCACCACUGCCACCACCACCGCCACUAACGCCGCAAACUAGGGUUUUUGGUGGCCUCUCUCUAAAUCCUUUUCUGAACUGCUAUCUACAAGUGUUUUUAUUUAUAAUUUAUAUAUGGCGAAAGUUGCAACUGGAACUACUAGCCUGGGCAGUAAGAGUGGAGUCCGUAUCGUGGUAGCUGGAGACCGUGGCACCGGGAAGUCGAGCUUGAUGGUCACAGCCGCCNUUAAUGUUCCGCCGGUUCUCCCGCCCACCAGGCUGCCUGAGGAUUUCUAUCCUGAUCGAAUCCCUG
rnacentral:misc_RNA from 1 species